AGUGAACGCUGGCGGUAGGCCUAACACAUGCAAGUCGAACGGCAGCACAGUAAGAGCUUGCUCUUACGGGUGGCGAGUGGCGGACGGGUGAGGAAUACAUCGGAAUCUACUUUUUCGUGGGGGAUAACGUAGGGAAACUUACGCUAAUACCGCAUACGACCUACGGGUGAAAGCAGGGGAUCUUCGGACCUUGCGCGAUUGAAUGAGCCGAUGUCGGAUUAGCUAGUUGGCGGGGUAAAGGCCCACCAAGGCGACGAUCCGUAGCUGGUCUGAGAGGAUGAUCAGCCACGCUGGAGCUGAGACACGGUCCAGACUCCUACGGGAGGCAGCAGUGGGGAAUAUUGGACAAUGGGCGCAAGCCUGAUCCAGCCAUACCGCGUGGGUGAAGAAGGCCUUCGGGUUGUAAAGCCCUUUUGUUGGGAAAGAAAAGCAGCAGGUUAAUACCCCGCUGUUCUGACGGUACCCAAAGAAUAAGCACCGGCUAACUUCGUG
rnacentral:rRNA from 1 species